GGGGGGGGGGGGCGGGGGGCCGGGUCCGGGCAAGUCGGGCGGACGGACGAGGAGCUUGCGCCUCUGACGUUGGCGGCGGGCUGGUGCGUAACGCGUUGAUCACCUACCUAUAAGACUGGGAUAACUUCGGGAAACCGGCGCUACUACCGGAUACUAUAUUGAACCGCAUGGUUCAAUCGUUACAGCCGGUUUUGCUGUCACUUCUCUCUUGCUCCGCGCCGCCUUGACUAGUGGGCAAGGUAACGGCUUACCAAGGCAACGAUGCGUAGCCGACCUGAGAGGGUGAUCGGCCACACUGGAACUGAGACACGGGCCAGACUCCUACGGGAGGCAGCAGUAGGGAAUCUUCCGCAAUGGGCGAAAGCCUGACGGAGCAACGCCGCGUGAGUGAUGAAGGUCUUCGGAUCGUAAAACUCUGUUAUUAGGGAAGAACAAGUGUGUAAGUAACGAUGCACGUCUUGACGGUACCUAAGCAGAAAGCCACGGCUAACUACGU
rnacentral:rRNA from 1 species